AUUGAACGCUGGCGGCAGGCCUAACACAUGCAAGUCGAACGAGUGGCGGACGGGUGAGUAAUGUCUGGGAAACUGCCCGAUGGAGGGGGAUAACUACUGGAAACGGUAGCUAAUACCGCAUACCAUCGGAUGUGCCCAGAUGGGAUUAGUUAGGAUGUGGGGUAAAGGCUCACCUAGGCGACGAUCCCUAGCUGGUCUGAGAGGAUGACCAGCCAACCGGGAACGGAGACACGGUCCAGACUCCGACGGGAGGCAGCAGUGGGGAAUAUUGCACAAGGGGCGGAAGCCUGAUGCAGCCAUGCCGCGUGUAUGAAGAAGGCCUUCGGGUUGUAAAGUACUUUCAGCGAGGAGGGGUGACUCGCAGAAGAAGCACCGGCGAACUCCGGGCCAGCAGCCGCGGGAAUA
rnacentral:rRNA from 1 species